GCAGUCGAGCGAUGGAUUAAGAGCUUGCUCUUAUGAAGUUAGCGGCGGACGGGUGAGUAACACGUGGGUAACCUGCCCAUAAGACUGGGAUAACUCCGGGAAACCGGGGCUAAUACCGGAUAACAUUUUGAACCGCAUGGUUCGAAAUUGAAAGGCGGCUUCGGCUGUCACUUAUGGAUGGACCCGCGUCGCAUUAGCUAGUUGGUGAGGUAACGGCUCACCAAGGCAACGAUGCGUAGCCGACCUGAGAGGGUGAUCGGCCACACUGGGACUGAGACACGGCCCAGACUCCUACGGGAGGCAGCAGUAGGGAAUCUUCCGCAAUGGACGAAAGUCUGACGGAGCAACGCCGCGUGAGUGAUGAAGGCUUUCGGGUCGUAAAACUCUGUUGUUAGGGAAGAACAAGUGCUAGUUGAAUAAGCUGGCACCUUGACGGUACCUAACCAGAAAGCCACGGCUAACUACGUGCCAGCAGCCGCGGUAAUACGUAGGUGGCAAGCGUUAUCCGGAAUUAUUGGGCGUAAAGCGCGCGCAGGUGGUUUCUUAAGUCUGAUGUGAAAGCCCACGGCUCACCCGUGGAGGGUCAUUGGAAACUGGGAGACUUGAGUGCAGAAGAGGAAAGUGGAAUUCCAUGUGUAGCGGUGAAAUGCGUAGAGAUAUGGAGGAACAC
rnacentral:rRNA from 1 species